rnacentral:lncRNA from 1 species
CUUCCAUCAAAGCUAAUGCUCUUCUUUUUUUUAUGAAAGCUGAGAAUAUUCAAAUAGCCUCCGCAGCUUCUUCAUCUCCUUCUUCUUCCUCAUCAACUACUGUUGGCUUGACCCUCUUAGGUCUGCCGCACAGUCUCACAUUUUUGCCAGACAAGAGCUUCAUUGCUUUCUCAAAAGUCACCUCACUUGGUUCAACGUUCUGCCAAGUACAAAGUUAUCUUCAAUGAAAACUCCUUUAAACAAUAGUAAAUCCUAUCAUACUAUGGAUGCAGAUCCACAUCUCAUUUCCUUAUCAAAUACAAGACCAACAUCUCCUAACAAAUGCUCCUCUUAUUCUAACUAUAUAAUAUUCAUAUAACAGUAGAUAACAUAGUACCUUGGGAACAGUAGCCAUAGUGCGGCGAUGUCGAACAGUAAAUCCAGAUUUGCUAAGCUUCAAGAACACAGGCUGCCCAUCUUCAGGGUGGUUCCCCUGAUCAGAAAUGAGUAAACAGAGUCGUCAACACUCGAAAAUGUUGAAACGCAAUAGCUGUAACCUUAAAUAUCAGUCUUACCAGUGUCAGAGGAUAGCGUAAUAAUUCGAGAGCACCUUCAAGCGUAAUAGAGUUCACAUCCUUUAUCUGAAAAAAUAAGGUUCUCAGUAAGAGAAGGCAAGCAUUACAUUACCAAGAUACUACUGGCGCACGUAUACACACUUGAACGUUUACUCAGUAAGAGAAACAUAGGGAAUGUUUAAUUUGAUAAAACUCCAAACAUACAUGGGACGCAUUUGCUCGUUGUGGUACGUGUCCUUUUUUGUCCUCACCAAGCUGUACAUAAUGCCCAUAGGGGCCGCACUUUAAAAUAACCUGAACAAGGAAAUUGAUUCAGCAAAUUGAAGUUUUAAGAUAAAUUGUCAACAGAAGAGGGUCAGACAGUUGGUGUUCAAAAAAGAAAAAGAAAAAAGAAGAGGGUCAGAGCAGCGAUACCUUCUCAUUGGUAUUGGGAUGAACACCUAGUAAUUUGGGCUCUUCUACGCAGGUAUUCUUUGGAGUCUCAUCUUCAUCUUCAUCCUCUCCAUAAAGCGUUUUGGCAACGAACCUGCAUAUGAACCACAUAGCUCAAAUUAUAUAGGUGAUAAACAAACGCAAAAACGUAAAUUCGUAAAAUGUGUUGGCGAGAAUACAUGAAUAAGCGAGCAAAGGUUAACGGUUAAGAGAUUCAAAAGGCAGCAACUUACUUGCACGAAGGGUAGCCAUCACAACCGAUGAAAUAUCCUCAUCAACUACUGUUGGCUUGACCCUCUUAGGUCUGCCGCACAGUCUCACAUUUUUGCCAGACAAGAGCUUCAUUGCUUUCUCAAAAGUCACCUCACUUGGUUCAACGUUCUGCCAAGUACAAAGUUAUCUUCAAUGAAAACUCCUUUAAACAAUAGUAAAUCCUAUCAUACUAUGGAUGCAGAUCCACAUCUCAUUUCC